GACGAACGCUGGCGGCGUGCCUAACACAUGCAAGUCGAGCGGCUCUGCUGACGGGGGAGUAAUGCCUAGGAAUCUGCCUGGGCGUGGUGGAUACCGUCCGGAAACGGGCGCUAAUACCGCACACUUUCAGAUCAGCCUAGGUCGGAUUCGCUAUGUGGUGGGGUAAUGGCCUACCAGGGCGACGAUCCGUACCUGGUCUGAGAGGAUGAUCAGUCACACUGGAACUGAGACACGGUCCAGACGCCUACGGGAGGCAGCAGUGGGGAAUAUUGGACAAUGGGCGAAAGCCUGAUCCAGCCAGGCCGCGGGUGUGAAGAAGGUCUUCGGAUUGUAAAGCACUUGAAGUUGGGAGGCGUGACCAACAGAAUAAGCACCGGCUAACUCCGUGCCAGCAGCCGCGGUAAUAC
rnacentral:rRNA from 1 species